AAUCACACGAGUGUAAACUUUGAAUAAGGGCACGUCACUUCUAGGUAAAUUUGCACAGAAAUUAAAUUUCGCUGCCCCUCGUUUUAAACAUAAUCCUAGGCUGAAUUUUUAUAGCGCACUGAUCGAUAUCUAGGUAAAAUAAUCAUUUUUUUUAAACUAGCGAGGCAGUGAAAUCUUUGCUUUGUUGCUAAAGUCAACAGUGACAGAGUUUGAGCUCAAAUAAAUGCCGCGAGGCUCCCAGCCCCGUGCAGAAGACCGCGCGAGAGGCUCCGGUACCGUUCUGCAGGCUCCAGAUCUGAACCAAUCAGCAGUCGUCUUCAUCAUCGUGCCACUUCCUUUGGCAACCUGCUGGUUCAACCCUUUCCAUCAGCCACGUUCACCUGCAGCUACCCUCAGUCACGUCUGACCUGGAUGCAUGAGCAAGAUAACAUUCACAUCUGCAACGUCAAGAGAGAGGGGCACAAGGAAGCCUGACAUUAAUGAUUAACAGCACUAAAAGCCCCUGCUUUUGUAUUCCCAUGGUGCUGGGGCUAUCUGCCGAUCAUGUGACCUGCACCGAGAAGAUUGGGGGAGUGAGCGCAAAAGCAAACACAGGUGUUUGGGCUGGAGUCGGUCGUCCGGUCGGUGCUGUUAGGGACAACUGCAAACACAGGCUGCCAUGCCUGGAGACGCAAAUGCCCACCCAUACCAACAGGACAGCCAACCGGAGUCACCGACUCAACUCUGACGCUCUCAGCCUGCCUUUUCUCUGAACAAUUACGAUUCUUCAUUGGCCUAUUAAAAUCUGCUCUUCGAGUACAGUUUGACCUAAGAAGCUAUGAAUUCUUUAUUGAACAUCAUAAAUAGGCGUAACCAUAAAUGAAAAUAAACAAAGCUUUUUUUUUUAUAAAUAAAUAAAUAGAUAACAUAAAAAACGCUUUCUUAAUAAAUUAUUGCACCUCGUGAGGUCACCACUGAUAGUGUCAACGUUUUUAAGUUCAAACCCUAUUGUUUGCAAGAGACUUGUCUGGUUCGUUCAUCUUCGAGUUGAUUGAGAGGGCGGGUACUUGUUGAUUUAAAUGCAAAUAUGGAUGCAAUUUAUUUUCAUAUACUUGGCUGAUCUAAUUUUUAAUGGAACCAUAAUUAAAUAAACAUACUGUAAUCCACA